AUCCAGGAUGGGGGAGGGGAGGGGAAAUUUUGGGUUCAUUUCGGGGGAAUUUGGGGUCAAAACCAAAAACAUCAAAUUUUGGGUUAAAAACUGGAAUUUUUGGUUAAAAACUGGAAUUUUGGGUUAAAAACUGGAAUUUUGGGGUAAAAAACGGAGUUUUAGGGGUGGAAAUUUCAGUUUUGGGGGUGAAAAAUGUGAAUUUUGGGGGUGGGGGUUGAUGGGAGGGGAUUUGGGGUGAAAAAUGUGAAUUUUGGGGUGGAAAAUGUGAAUUUUGGGGUGGAAAAUUCCCAUUUUGGGGUAAAAAUUCCCAUUUUUGGGGUGGAUUUUGGGGUAAAAAAUUCCUAUUUUAGAGGUGGAUUUUGGGGUAAAAAAUUCCGAUUUUUGGGUUGGAUUUUGGGUUAAAAAAUUCCCUUUUUUGGGGUGGAUUUUGGGGUAAAAAUUCCCGUUUUGGGGGUGGAUUUUGGAGUAAAAAUUGCCAUUUUCAGAGUGGAUUUUGGGGUAAAAAAUCCCCAUUUUUGGAGUGGAUAUGGAGGUGAAAAUUCCCAUUUCAAGGGUGGAUUUUGGGGUAAAAAUUCCCGUUUUUGGGGCGGAUUUUUGGG